rnacentral:rRNA from 1 species
AGAACGAACGCUGGCGGCGUGCUUAACACAUGCAAGUCGAACGCGAAAGAGUUCUUCGGAACUUGAGUAGAAUGGCGCACGGGUGAGUAACGCGUAAGUAAUCUACCCUGGUAUCUGGGAUAACCCACCGAAAGGUGUGCUAAUACCGGAUACGCUGAUUUAUCAGGAAAGGUGGCCUCUUCAUGAAAGCUACUGUACUAGGAGGAGCUUGCGUACCAUUAGCUAGUUGGUAGGGUAAUGGCCUACCAAGGCAACGAUGGUUAGCGGGUCUGAGAGGAUGAUCCGCCACACUGGAACUGGAACACGGACCAGACUCCUACGGGAGGCAGCAGUGAGGAAUAUUGCGCAAUGGGGGAAACCCUGACGCAGCGACGCCGCGUGGAUGAUGAAGGCCUUCGGGUCGUAAAAUCCUGUCAGAUGGAAAGAAAUGCAUAUGUAUUAAUACUACGUAUGUUUGACGGUACCAUCAAAGGAAGCACCGGCUAACUCCGUGCCAGCAGCCGCGGUAAUACGGAGGGUGCAAGCGUUGUUCGGAAUUACUGGGCGUAAAGCGCGCGUAGGCGGUUUGUUAAGUCAGAUGUGAAAGUCCACGGCUCAACCGUGGAAGUGCAUUUGAAACUGGCAGACUUGAGUACUGGAGGGGGUGGUGGAAUUCCCGGUGUAGAGGUGAAAUUCGUAGAUAUCGGGAGGAAUACCGGUGGCGAGGGCGACCACCUGGCCAGAUACUGACGCUGAGGUGCGAAAGCGUGGGGAGCAAACAGGAUUAGAUACCCUGGUAGUCCACGCCGUAAACGAUGUCAACUAGGUGUUGGGGAGGUUAAUCUUCUCAUUGCCGCAGCUAACGCAUGAAGUUGACCGCCUGGGGAGUACGGUCGCAAGAUUA